GUCCACUCUCACACCCACCCAGACGGGAGGCACAUGGAGGCAGAAGAGCAAGAAGCGCUCCCUCUGCUCAUAGUCGCAGUUAUUGGCGUCCAACACUUUGCGGAUUUCCCGCAUCAUGUCCCCGGGAUCCAUUGAACUAGUGGUUUUCAUGCUCCAGGUGAAGCGUAGGGAUCGAGGCUUUGCUUCUUUGUUUUCAUCUUUUUGCUCAGCAGAUACAUUGCGACUGAAAUGCAUAGAGGCAGGUUUAUUUUUAAUCGUACAGGAAAAUCAACCUCUUACACUUCAGCUAGUUCCUCAUUCACGUCUUUGAUACAACACAACUAACGACUGACCUCCACAUUUUCCUGCACAGACUCACAUUUGUAACUAAGUCUAUUUUCGUCUAUUUUCUUCCCUCACCCCCUAAAAGUCAUAAGCCACACACAAAAAGAUCUACCUAGCUGGAAAAUCUUCACCAGCCACCUGUGCUUACUAAAAUGAACGAAGUAAUUCGUUAAGCAGAAUCCUUGGAAAUCAGGCAAAAAGGACAGCAUGCCCCACUCCUCAGGGCUCUGCAGGCCCAGCUCAGGGAAGGAGUUGCCAGCCAGCUCCUGCCCACCCCACCCAUCCACCCUGGGCUGUCCCUCUCCUGCAGUACUGUUCUUUCAGAUGUGAAUCACUGUAACUGGCACUCAGGGUAACUGGAGACUCAACAUCCGCAGUCUAAAAUUGCUUUGCUGUACAGCCCUGAGGCUGAACAUGAUGCUCUACCCACCUCAUUGUUUUUCCUCCUCUCUGGUUUGUUAAUUAAACGUCCAAUUAUACAGUUAAAGAAAAUCUCAAAUGACACAAUCUUACUACUGGAAUAGAUGGAAAAAUGCAACGGGACACUUCUCUGUCUGUGGGGGACUGACACCACCCAUGUGGAUGCCCUGUGGAUUCAGAAUGUAAGCCUUGGUCUGAUGUCCAAGAGGCAGCCUAAGUAGAGCCCAGGCCGGGGUCUCUAGGGAACACCGCGGUUUACCAGCCACUCCUUGGCAUUUAGUCAUUAUUGCCACAAGCCGUUAUUUAUAUUCUCAUGUGUGUAUCUGGUGGCCUCAAUUAAGACAGUGAGUGCCUAGCAUUCUUGGGAGUAAAAUAGUCUAUGUACCUUAAGUACACUCCAUCCUAUGGCCAACUAACCAGAGGUGAGGGGCUACAGCUUUUGCAUAUGCACAUAGCUCUCCGUGUCACCAACCUGCCAGUAUUCAAUUUGGUUCACAUCCACCAAUACUGAUGAGAGAAGCUUCCUAUGUAUAAAAUGCCACGUUAGAUACUAAAUGGGUUACAAAGAUAAGCAAAAGCUCUCAAACUCAUCUGGAGCCAGGAAGACUGUAAGGUGAGACAACAGUGGCAGCACAGGAAAGGCUGGCCAUCUCCUAGAGGGCAGCAGAAGAGGUGGAGCCCGCCGAGCAGGAGAACGUGACAGGCAGGAUGAGACAAGGAGGAAACAGCACGGGUGGGGGUGGGCCUGCAUCUGAGGAGAGCUAUGAAGAGCCAUGGGAUUUCAACAAAAUGCAAUGAAGAUAGGGAAGAGUGUUUGUUUUGAGUAGAGGGGAUCACAGCCAAAGGGGAGGUAGGAAAGUACAGGAUGUGUCUGUGGCAUAAUAAAGUACACAGACUGAGUGGAACUGGAGGCACAGUGUCAUCACCCCCACAACAGCUGGUGGCACUUAAUGAGCACUUGUGGUGGUCAGGCCCCAACUUACUUGAUGCCCACGUAGGUCCUAUUAUGUCACCUUCCUAUUAUGGGUGGGGAAACAAACCAGGAUCUAGAGCCUGCUCCUGGCUGGGAUGGGUAGGCCUGGAGAGGGAAUGCUGCCUGGCACUCACCCUAGUGCUCUGCCUUGAUGGGGCAGCAGAGCUGGGGCUGCUGGGGCAGCCUGGACCACGCCACUCAGGGCCUCGCAGGGACGUGGCCAGGUGAAAUAGUGGAGGUCACUGAAGGUUUUAAUUCAGAAAGGUCAUAUGACCAGAAGCGGGCUUUUAGAAAGACCAAAAGGACAAACGGUGAAUGAGGACCUGAAAUAGCCUGCUGGUGACUGGCAUAAAAAAAGGGCACAAGUGGAAGAGACCUAGAACAAGGGACAUAGAGUCCUAAGGCUACCUGGUGAUUGCCUCCCCUCAAAUCCAUGCAAUGAUAACUAUACAAAAUGGAAAAGCAAGGCUGGGUGCGGGGGCUCAUGUCUGUCAUCCCAGCACUUUGGGAGGUUGAGGUGGGAGGUUCACUUGAGCCUAGGAGUUUGAGACCAGCCCGGCCAACAUGGCGAGACCCCCAUCUCUACAGAAAAUACAAAAAUUAGCCAGCAUGGUGGCAGUGCCUGUGGUUCCAGAUACUCAGGAGGCUGAGGUGGGAGGAUCGCAUAAGCCUGGGAACUCGAGUAAGCCCUGAUCACGCCACUACACUCCAGACUGGGUGACAGAGCGACACCGUGUCUCAGAAAAAAAAAAAAGAAAAGCAAAACACUCAACUAUAUAAUCACCAUUCUUAGAAGAAAACAUAUCUAGUUUGAAAUAUGGACAUUCUAUUAAGUACUUUGCUUUUAUUCCUUGUGAAGAGAACCAUGUGAGGGGUCAGUGAUGAACUGAGGGCUUAUUUCUCUGAGCACUGCUACCCAACCCAGACCUCCAAAGGCUGUUAACGCCCAGGCAGGAAGGCUGAAGGCCUCGCCGUGCUUUGAACACAAACACAAAUGUAGAGCGGAGGCCAAGCUGGAUCUGGACGGUGCUCAUGGCAGGCUGGCGCCCCCUUGUGGCCACCCUCUCUACGUAACUCCUACAGAGACAGCAGGAAUACAGUAGGGAACAUUCAGAAAAUAGUCGCCUCUGCCACAGAAAUGAAGUAAACACCUGAAAAAAAUUUUAAGUAAAAAUCAUUUCCCUCACCUUGAGCCCUCAUAUCUCCCGUUCCUCUCAUAUUCAGUUGGAAGCCUCAAUGAACAGAAUGUAGAAGCAGAGAGAAGAGGGAAAGAGAAAAGAAAUCU
rnacentral:lncRNA from 1 species